rnacentral:rRNA from 1 species
GUGUCAGCAGCCGCGGUAAUACCGGCAGCCCGAGUGAUGGCCGAUCUUAUUGGGCCUAAAGCGUCCGUAGCUGGCUGAACAAGUCCGUUGGGAAAUCUGUCCGCUUAACGGGCAGGCGUCCAGCGGAAACUGUUCAGCUUGGGACCGGAAGACCUGAGGGGUACGUCUGGGGUAGGAGUGAAAUCCUGUAAUCCUGGACGGACCGCCGGUGGCGAAAGCGCCUCAGGAGAACGGAUCCGACAGUGAGGGACGAAAGCUAGGGUCUCCAACCGGAUUAGAAACCCCCGUAGUCC